rnacentral:rRNA from 1 species
CUUGCUUUUUUGCUGACGACCGGCGCACGGGUGCGUAACGCGUAUGCAACCUACCCAUUACUAGAGGAUAGCCCAGGGAAACUUGGAUUAACACCCCAUAGUACUAUAAAGCCGCAUGGUUUAAUAGUUAAAGUUUACGGUAGAGGAUGGGCAUGCGGCUGAUUAGAUAGUUGGUAAGGUAACGGCUUACCAAGUCAUUGAUGGGUAGGGGGUCUGAGAGGAUUAUCCCCCACACUGGUACUGAGACACGGACCAGACUCCUACGGGAGGCAGCAGUAGGGAAUAUUGGUCAAUGGAGGCAACUCUGAACCAGCCAUGCCGCGUGAAGGAAGACGGCCCUACGGGUUGUAAACUUCUUUUAUACACCAAGAAACGCAGUUAUGCGUAACUUUUUGACGGUACUAUAUGAAUAAGCACCGGCUAACUCCGUGCCAGCAGCCGCGGUAAUACGGAGGGUGCGAGCGUUAUCCGGAAUUAUUGGGUUUAAAGGGUACGCAGGCGGCUUAAGAAGUCAGUGGUGAAAGCCUUCAGCUUAACUGGAGAAUUGCCAUUGAUACUGCUGACCUUGAGUUCGGUUGAAGUGGGCGGAAUAUGUAGUGUAGCGGUGAAAUGCAUAGAUAUUACAUAGAACACCUAUUGCGAAGGCAGCUCACUAAGCCGAUACUGACGCUCAGGGACGAAAGCGUGGGGAGCGAACAGGAUUAGAUACCCUGGUAGUCCACGCUGUAAACGAUGAUAACUCGCUGUUGGCGAUAUACUGUCAGCGGCCAAGCGAAAGUGAUAAGUAAUCCACCUGGGGAGUACGAUCGCAAGGUUGAAACUCAAAGGAAUUGACGGGGGCCCGCACAAGCGGUGGAGCAUGUGGUUUAAUUCGAUGAUACGCGAGGAACCUUACCUGGGCUUAAAUGCAUAAUGACAGGUCUAGAAAUAGAUUUUUCUUCGGACAGAAUGCAAGGUGCUGCAUGGCUGUCGUCAGCUCGUGCUGUGAGGUGUCGGGUUAAGUCCCAUAACGAGCGCAACCCCUAUCUUUAGUUGCCAGCGAGUAAUGUCGGGGACUCUAAAGAAACUGCCGGCGUAAGCCGAGAGGAAGGUGGGGACGACGUCAAGUCAUCACGGCCCUUACGUCCAGGGCUACACACGUGCUACAAUGGUUGAGACAAAGGGCAGCUACCUGGUGACAGGAUGCUAAUCUCUAAACUCAAUCUCAGUUCGGAUCGAAGUCUGCAACUCGACUUCGUGAAGCUGGAAUCGCUAGUAAUCGUAUAUCAGCCAUGAUACGGUGAAUACGUUCCCGGGCCUUGUACACACCGCCCGUCAAACCAUGGAAGCUGGGGGUGCCUGAAGUCGGUGAC